GUCGAUUUUGAUACAGAGCAAUGAGGAGCCAGAGAUAGGGAUGAGAAAAGGAGCUCUAUCCAUCAGGAUGUAAUUGAAUGCGAGUUAGAGAGAUCAUCUCAUUUGAGGGUUUAGACCGUAAGAUUUUUGAGGCGCCAACUUUCUCUUGCCAUGUCAGCUCCAUGUUAAGUGGCAGGAGAAAAUCAGCAAUGAGGAUACUUGUGGACGAACCCACCAACCAACUCCAUCAGCACUAGUUUGGUUUUGGUGGUUUUCUUGGUAUGGACAUAUUAUUAGGCUGGAAGACUAACG